GGUGAUUCUUAGGUGACACACCCUGGAAUUGGGGUCCCUCCUCUCUGGUUCCAGGUGCAUCACCCGAGAACCACA
rfam:Myotis davidii contig57750, whole genome shotgun sequence.